rnacentral:lncRNA from 1 species
AUGGAGAGAGGGGGAAAGCGUAAGAAAGAGCCAUUAUUUAACCAGACCUGGCCAAGGGUAAAGGUUUUAAUUCUUUCCAAGUGCCAUAUGUGGUUGCCUGUGGGGGAAAGGCAAAGCCAUAUUUAUCUGACUGAACCAAUAAUUCAUAUCUGUUUCAGAAGCCGACUUUGGUGGAUUGUAGAUCUACAGCUGUUCCUAGUCUAGGUCCAGACUUUCCCGGUGGGAAUCACUGUAGCAACACGUCUGACUUAUAGGAUUCAUAUGGAGGGGGAUAGGAGACCCAGAACUGUAAAUUCAAACCGUGUGUACAUUACUUCUAUGUAUUCAAUUCAAAAGCAUUUAGGGCUUUUCAAAACAGCCCUUUCACUACAGGAAAACUCCCCCACACUCACAAUUUAAAGGAAACAGAUCUUUCAUGUUUACCCUUCCUGUUUCUUGUAGGAGGUCUUGAAAUAAAGGCUGCAAAAGCGACUUUCGGUCUACGGAGCCCCGAUGCCUCCUUGCCAUGUUUGUUUUUUUUUUUUACCUGGAUGGGUUUCCCUUUUUCUCCCUGGGGAUGCCCCACCAGAGCCCCGUGCAGCUCGUGGAGCUGUGCUGAUCCCAGCUACUGAACCACAUGGAUCAACUCCAGCACCCACGCUGCAAAACCAGCCCUGCCCCUGGGGAUGGGGUGAGCAAACGUUGCCCCCUUCCCUCCUCACGGAUCGAGCCUUGUUUCCUACAACACAGCCGGGGACCCUGCGUGGAAGGGGCAGGAGAAGCACAGCUGGUGCUGCCCCGCAUCGCUGUGUAUGCUGUGCAUUUCGUCUCCUUUCUGUUUGCUUUCUGCCUUGUUGCUUGUUUCAUGCAUUAUGGAUGAUUGUCGUGUUAGGUCUCAUCUCUCGCUAUGCCAAAGAAAAUAAAGGAUUUUGAACUUGGAGUUAUUAUGUGCUCUGGGUGUUAGAAAAUAAUCACUGCUGAGCUGCUCGUCAGGUCAGAUCCCAACCUUACAGGAAUCUCCCCUUGCUGCUCUUCCAGCAGCCCAGGGUUUGGUCCUUCCUGCCCUCUCCUUGCUGAAGCACAGUGCUCUCUCACCCACUUCACAAAACACCAAAUAAACAUCAGACUGAAGAGGAUGCUGCCAGCUCCAGAGAUUUUACAACACAAAUCAGACACCCUGCACAUUGCAGAGGAACACCAGAGACAAACUAUUUCAUCAGGUCCCCCUUCUGCUCACCGCUUCAUCUCCCGUGUUCUGCAGCAGAUAGGACCUGUGUAGUCUGACUAAGUGCUGAGCAUCCUCAGCAGCAAGGGCAGCAUCUCCCCUGCUAUUACAAAGGGCUCUGUUCGUGCUAAAGCAAAGCUGAAUUUGGAGGCAGGCGUCAUUUUGCUGGCAGGUAAAUGGGAUGGGCACCUCCAGCAAAGUAAUAGGGUGAGGGCCCGUAUCUGCACAGCAUGAGAGACUGUAGAAUCAUAGAAGCAUUAAGGUUGGAAAAGACCUCUCAGAUCCCCAAGUCCAACCCCAUCCCACCACGCUCACUGACCAC